GAUUUGUAAUUUGUUUUUGCUUUUUGGUAGAGACAGGGUCUCGCUAGGUUGCCCAGGCUGCUCUCAAACUCCUGGCCUCAAGUGAACCUCCUGCCUUGCCCUCUCAACGUGCUGGGAGCCACUGUGCCCAAUCAACACACAGUAAAGGGGAAGCUCAUUUCCAGUAUUUGUGCAAAGAAAAAGACAUCCUUUAAGAAGCUAUCGUAGCAAACCAAAAAAUACAAAAUUGUGACCCAGAGGAUGUACAGUGACUUCUGGCUUUCUAGGGUGCUGUGGCUUUUGAGUUCUGAUGAUGACAAAAAUAUUUUGGCAGAGACUCCAUCUCAAAAAAAAAAAAACAACAACAACAAAAACGUGAAUGUCGGCAUCCUCUGGGGCUCCCAGGACGCCGUGACUUCCUGGCCGCGGUGCUUACCAGGUUAACUGGAGAUACCCUGAGUGUCACACACACCCCACAACGGGCCUGGGGAGUGGCCUGUUAACGUCUAUGAUCGCACCUUCUUCAUUCAAGGAAACAAAAGAAACUAGUCCAUGAAGAGAAACCUGCCCAACAUCACGAGGAAAAUAAGUCAACUGAGUACUUUUUGCUAGAUCUGGUGGGUUUUUUUGUAUUUUUUUGCAGUAACGGGGUCUCACUAUGUUGCCCAGGCUGGUCUCGAACUCCUGGACUGAAUUGAUCUGCCCGCCUCUGCCUCCCAAAGAAUCUCCUUUUUUGUUUCAGGUUAUAAUACAAUGGCUUCACACGCAUCCCCAAAAUACACACACACACGCAUGCGCAUACAUACAAUAGA